rnacentral:rRNA from 1 species
GACGAACGCUGGCGGCGUGCUUAACACAUGCAAGUCGAGCGAGGCUCCUCCUUCGGGAGGAUGCCCUAGCGGCGAACGGGUGAGUAACACGUGGGCAACCUGCCCCUAGCACUGGGAUAACCCCGGGAAACCCGGAGCUAAUACCGGAUACGACUUCGAAGGACAUCCUCCGAAGUGGAAAGGUUACUGGCUAGGGAUGGGCCCGCGGCCUAUCAGCUUGUUGGUGGGGUAACGGCCCACCAAGGCGACGACGGGUAGCCGGCCUGAGAGGGCGACCGGCC